GAACCACUGCGAGGAAAGAUAACUGAAAUAAUGUGAUACAACGAUCUCUACAUAUAUGUGCUAUUUCCUGAAGAUUACGCGUUCGCGACAUUUCCUGCGACAAUUUCCUGUAUUGUCAUCAUUUAUUAAUUCCAGGAAUUUCGCGACAGCAUGAUUAAGUUCAUUGGAACGUAUGCUAUCUGAAAGUAGUUCUAUUAUCGCAGUCUAUUCAAGCCUGCUGUCUGAAUUGCGACUAAUCUUACUUAGAUAGACGGAUGAAAGCACGCGGGGAACGAAUACGGAACCCCCUUUGAGCGGUCAGGAUUUAUACCGUGUUUUGUUCUGGCAGAGGGGCGCGUACGCAGAAAACGGACUCCGUGCCAACAACGUUGCCAACGAUAUCAUGAAUGGUGCUGUUGUAAACGAUAUCGAAAUGCAACCCUCUGUUUCCGUUUUGUUCAAUAAUAGAUUUCCCCCAUUCUGCGGUUUCCUUUUAUUCGCAUGAAGAUUAAGUUACGU